AGUAGACCAAGACUUUCGAUGCAAUCCUAAUCCGAUGAGAUUAGAUCACUCGAAGAGUCCCAAUUAACUUAGACUCUUCCAAAUUGAUUCCAAAAUUAAACUCUUUUAAUUCUAAUUAAUCUAUAAGUCAAGAUUGAUAUCUAACAAUAUGUUAUGACUAUCUGAAAGAUUUUAGAAUUUUGAUGAAAAAUUAUCAAAAAAUCCUUCAGUGGCAAGUUACCAUGUAAUUCAAUCCUUCAAUC
rnacentral:lncRNA from 1 species